rnacentral:pre_miRNA from 1 species
AAGGCAAUAGCUGGGUCAAAUGGAGGUUCCAUUCCCAGCUUUCCCAGGAAUCUCCAUACUGCUUUCCAAAUUGGCCGCCCCAAUUUGCAGUCCCACCAGCAAU